CCGCACAAGCGGUGGAGUAUGUGGUUUAAUUCGACGCAACGCGCAGAACCUUACCUAGACUUGACAUCCCGGGGAUUUUCUGGAAACAGAGAAGUGCUUUAGCAAUAAAGAACCCGGUGACAGGUGCUGCAUGGCUGUCGUCAGCUCGUGUCGUGAGAUGUUGGGUUAAGUCCCGCAACGAGCGCAACCCUCGCCUUUAGUUGCCAGCAUUCAGUUGGGCACUCUAGAGGGACUGCCGGUGUCAAACCGGAGGAAGGUGGGAUGACGUCAAGUCCUCAUGGCCUUUAUGUCUAGGGCUACACACGUACUACAAUGGCCGGUACAAAGGGCAGCCACUCAGCGAUGAGGCGCUAAUCCCAUAAAGCCGGUCUCAGUCCGGAUCGCAGUCUGCAACUCGACUGCGUGAAGUUGGAAUCGCUAGUAAUCGUAGAUCAGCAUGCUACGGUGAAUACGUUCCCGGGCCUU
rnacentral:rRNA from 1 species